rnacentral:lncRNA from 1 species
GAGCAGAUUGAUGUAUCUGUUUAGACUGGUUGCCUUUAGGGCUCUCUGGGAACCUGGUCUGACUUUCUAGUGCCCAGGCAGGCACUGCCCCAGAUCACUGCAUAUAUAGGGCAGGAAAGGCAGGGGAGGCAGCGGCGGGAAGCCUUCCUUAGCUGUGUGAUCCUAGAUGGCUGUUAACUUAGCAUUUGAGGACUGUCUCAGAUAGACACAAUUGGACCAGGCUCAACACUGUGUCUGGCAUCCAUGGACAAUUCAUUUUGCUCAAUUGAACUGAAUGCUCAAGAUCCUCAAGAAAGGAAGAAGAGAAAUUACAUUUACAAAGCACCUAUUGUGUGCCAAUCACUAUAGUAGGCCACUUUAUGUUUUAUUAAACUAAAUCCCUUGAGCUAGAGUCAGCUGCAAGGGAAGAUGAUGACCACUAUUUUACUGAUGAAGAAACUAGACUCCCUCCCUCAGAGGUUGAGGAGUGUGCUAGAAGUCACACAACCACCAAAUGGCAAUAUUAAAUUCAAACCUGGUGACUCCAAAGGCUAUACUCUCCACAUCAUAACAGAGCCUCCAAGUCUGGUUGUAAGAAAGCAUCAGAUAGCAGGCAUCCAUUUCUUCAUGCGUUCUUCAGUUCAUGUAGGUUUUGUACCAUAGAAAAAAAGGCUUUACCCACUCAAACAUCGACUGUUUUCAGCAGACAGAGUCCUAAGUGGAUGCCUGAUUGGCUGAUCCUGGGACACGUGCCUGCUCACUGGAUGUACUGAGGCUAUGAGAAGAAGGAUCUGGCAAAACAAACCUCAGGGACCUCAUCAAGAAGGCAGAGGACCUGGACUAACCAUGACAUCCAAACUGAACACAAUUUUAGAGAUAAUUCCCACAGAAGAGACAGGAUUUCUAGAAAAUGGAAAUAGCCCGCUCUUGGAAAAGAAUGGGCAUUUACUGAGAUGCAACUAUAAGCUGGUGAAAUAUAAUUUUGUUUAAAAUCAUUUAAUUUUAUUCCACAUCAUUUUCCUUUGAAGAUAUUUGAAUUGCCAGGGACAUUAAUAUUGUCAAGGAGAUUUGCUGUUUCACCCAAAUAUGAGAUGUCCACUUUGGGAUUAGAUCCCUGCCUCAUUCAAAUUUCCUUUUCCCUUAGUCUUUUCUUGAGUUACGGACAUUUGUUCAUUUUUUUCAACUUAUUCAACAAGUAUUUAUUGAACAACUACUAUGUGCCAUAUACUGUUUUUGGUUUGGUAUGGAAAGCCUGUAGGAAUCUCUGUUGUAAUUUUGGGAAUUUGCCCAACCUGCUCUUUAGGUGGUGCUAUGAACUGACUUGUGUGCUCCCAAAAUUUAUCUGUUGAAGCUCUAAGCUCCAAUGUGAUGAUAUUUGGAGAUGGGAUCUUUGGGAAUUAAUUAAGGUUAGAUGAGGUCAUGAGGAUGAGGCCCUUAUGAUGGGAUUAGUGCCCUUAUAAGAAAACACACCAGAGUGCCUGCUUGCUCUCUCUCUCUGCCAUGUGAAGACACAGUAUGAAGGCAGCUUAUUGCAAGCCUAAGAGAGAACCCUUGCCAGAAUUGGACUUCCGGUCUCCAGAACCAUGAAAACAUAAACUUCUGUUGUUUAAGCCACCCAGUCUACGGAAUUUUGUUCUAGAAGCCCAAGCUGACUAAUAUGGUUGGAGUCCAGUGCUUUGCGUGAAGAAGGUACAUCUCUAAAACUAAACAUUUUGCUCAUUGAAGCUUGAUCUGAAAUAAUUAAGACUUUGGUCGUGAAAAUCUUAGACAGAAUCCAUUCAGUGACUACCUUUAUUCUGAAUUGGCAGGCAGGCAGUUCUGAUAGAUCUGAGAAGAUUCUUUUGACAACAAUUUCUCCAACUUCAGAUAUGUUGAAAAACAAAAUAAAUAUGUUAAUAAUUAACAUGAUGUAAUGAACUUCAGUAGUAAAUUAAGACUAGAAGAGAUUAGGGGUACCAGGAAUCUUGGUUGUAAAGUGGCAUAUAUAAACAUAGUUGCAUCAAAACUUGCUAAAGUGGCCAGGUGCAGUGGCUCAUGCCUGUAAUCCCAGCACUUUGGGAAGCCGAGACAGGUGGAUCACCUGAGGUCAGGAGUUUGAGAUUAGCCUGGCCAACAGGGUGAAACCCUGUCUCUACUGAUAAUACAAAAAUUAGCCAGACAUGGUGGCACACGACUGUAAUCCCAGCUACUUAGGAGGCUGAGGCAGGAGAAUCGCUUGAACCUGGGAGGCAGAGGUUGCAGUGAGCCGGGAUCGCACCAUUGCACUCCAGCCUGGGCAACACGAGCAAAACUCUGUCUCAAAACA